UACGGAGGGUGCAAGCGUUAUCCGGAUUUACUGGGUUUAAAGGGUGCGUAGGUGGGUAGGUAAGUCAGUGGUGAAAUCUUCGAGCUUAACUCGGAAACUGCCAUUGAUACUAUCUGUCUUGAAUACUUUGGAGGUAAGCGGAAUAUGUCAUGUAGCGGUGAAAUGCUUAGAUAUGACAUAGAACACCAAUUGCGAAGGCAGCUCGCUGGGACGGUACUGACGCUGAGGCGCGAAAGCGUGGGGAGCAAACAGG
rnacentral:rRNA from 1 species